rnacentral:tRNA from 1 species
GUCCCGGUAGUGUAGCAGAGGCAUCCCCGUCUCCGAAGCGGGAGGGGAAGGUGCGACUCCUUCCCGGGACGCCA